GGCUCUUUGUAAUAUAAAAAUAAAGAGUCCGGCCUGCUCAAUGAUGAUUUAUCAUUAAAUAGCUGCGGAAUCCUAACCGUGUGAAAGUAGCAUAAUCAUUUGCCUCUUAAUUGGUGGCUGGAAUGAAUGGUACGAUGAAAAUAGAGCUGUCUCUAAUAUGUUUUAUUGAAGUUACCUUUUAGGUGAAAAGGCCUAAAUAUAUCUAUAAGACAAGAAGACCCUAUCGAGCUUUAAGUAGGCUAUAUAUAAUAUUUAGUUAGCUUUUGGUUGGGGCAACCAGGGGGCAGAUUAAAUCCCUCUUUUAUUAUGUCACUUACUAGUGAAGAUCCAGUUAUAUUGAUCAUGGGA
rnacentral:rRNA from 1 species